ensembl:lncRNA
GAGCAUCCCCAGUCUCCACUUCUCAGCUUUCGCCGCCCCCAGACACUCCCUCCACCCCGUUACAGAACAACAUAGACGCGCGCAAACACACCACUCACACUUCCAAUGAUCGGCUAUGGUAUCAAGUGUUCUAAUCGAGAUGUGACAGUUUAGGCUGGGAACAAAAAUAAUCUGUCAACGUGCCCAUCAGAAGCAGGAUGGAAUAAUGCUUCUAUUGGUUGGGUCUUUCGAGGACAGAAGAGCUCCUUGGCACUGGAACCCUCCUGGUCUGGUGAGGGAGGAAUGAGGAUACACAGGCGCCAUCCAAAACUUCCUAUGUUCAGAUUGAGGAAAGAGGUGGGCCAGGCCUUUGGAUUCUCAUUACCUAAGGACGGUUCUGACUGUGAGAGCAAAUCACAGAAGCCGGAAGCAAAGACUCUAAGAUGAAAGAGCCACAUGAGGGAAGGAGCCCCGACCUACACCAGAGGUUCAUAAAGUGACAACACAGAUUUGAUCCUUUCUCUCCAGAAGGUCUCAGUCCAGGGGAACGUGGGUAGCCGAUUAAGCACUGAUCAGGGAAUAAAAAGCCUGUCUCCUUUUGGCAUCACAGAGGCAGGAAAUCCUUUCCAAGCUUCCUCUGAUACUGGGUUUAUGCCCAAUUCUAGUGUAGAUGUGCUGGACUCUCAGCUCGCUGAACUUGUGGACGUCUUCCAUGCAUUCCUGCCUCUGCUCAUGCUGUUCCUCUGUGCAGAAAGCCUUCCCCUGCAUCUUUUGGAGAAUACUUGUGCAGCUGUUACUACUGCUGGCCUCCCCCAGACAGAGCUGUCUCUCAGGGGGCCUUCUGCAGUAGCCUCCUAACUAGCCAGUCUGUUUCUCCUCUUACCUGCCUACCAUUCUCCACAGAGACAUUGGGGGUAUCUUUAAAAACAUAAAUCAGGUCAUGCCACUUUCCUCCCUCACACAUCUAAUGGCUUCUGUUGCCUUUGCAAAACUUCAAACAUGCUUCCAGACCUUCAGGGCUCCCCAUGAUCUGGCUCCUGCCCACUUCUCUGACCUCAUCUCCUGAACUUUUCCUCAUCAGCCAUGAUGCUUCAGCCACACUGGCUUUCCUUUGAGCCCUCAACAUUCCAAGCCUGUCCCUCCUUUGGCACAUUGGCUGUCACCUUUUCCUAGGAUCCUAGGAUCCUCCUGCUCCACAUGUUCACAUGGCAGCUCCUUCUUGUUGUGUGGACACUAAAUAAGUUUUUAAUUUAAUUUUGAUUUCGAAAGACCUUUUUUGAAUCUCAACAUAAAAUAGCACUCUCCAUACAUCUAGUCACUAUCCAUCAUCUUCUUUUUUAAGAGACUUUAUAGUAUCUGUUAUUUUCUUAUUUGCUUCUUAAUUUUCUGUUUCCCACUCCCACAUCUCCUCACGACACACUAGAAUGCAAACUCCAUGAGAGUGAGACUCCUGUCAGUGACUGCUCUCUCUCCAGCCCUACAAAAGCACUAAGAAUUUUGAAUUUGACCUGCUGUAAUGUCUAAGGAAAGGAGGAAAGUCCACAAGGGUUAGUUUCACUGAACUCGGAGCCACCAUUGCAAUGCACUGAUGGAGAUGUACGACAUGAGGAGAGGAGAAUCUACGGUGGGCGUUUGCUGAUCUGGGGGAAAUUUGCUUCCUGGGAAAUUGCCACAGCCAUCCCAGACUUCAACAACCACCACCCUGAUCAGUCAGCAGUCAUCAACAUCAAGGCAAGAUCUUCCACCAGCAGAAAGAUUACAACUCGCUGAAGGCUCAGAUGAUGGUUGGCAUUUUUUAGCAAUAAAGUAUGUCUUAAUUAAGGUGUUCAGAGUUGAGGCCUCUGAGUGGCAAGGAAUAGUGGAUCAAGGAGAGAAUGGAGGUCACCACUCUCUUGACCCCUCCAAACACCCAAACCAAACAUCGGAGAGCUUGGGAAAGUGCCCGGAGCCUUGGGAACCCAGUUAAAGCCCAGGUGGAACGAGUAGGGACAGCCUGGCAUGGAUGCUCUCACUACAAGCAUCUCAGAUACUCUGCACUGAAUCUGGUCCUGGAAUCCUUCCCUCAGGACAAGGAUCUCCUUGGUCAGAAGACAUCAAGCCACAGCAAGGGGAUAACAGAUGCUGCUUGGCCUUCUCCUGGUCUGCCCUCUCUUGGUCUGCUUCUGUCUGAGCCCUGCCUCUUGGAUUGCCCCUUGCACUCACCUCACUCUGUGUCUCUAGCAUGUGUGGGUUUCGUGCUCCUUAGAUGCACGGACAUCCUGGAAGUAUGUGUUUAUCUGACAACAAAAGUGAAAAAAAAUCAGAACAUAUAGUUGGAGUCAUGUAAAUUUAAAAAAAACAAAAUCUCCUGCUAGCAUUCUGACUACAUGGCAUCUUGAGUCCUCUGAAAGGAAAUUUACAUAGGGUGGGGGGCGGGCAGGGUGUGAAGAGAGGAAAAAGGGGAAGGGUGCAUUUCAGGACAAGUCUAUGAAGGCUGUGUCCACACAGACCAAGACCUGGCUUUGCUCCUAUUCGAUUUAUUGCAAUUCAUCAGAGCAGUCAAAAUUGGUAUGAAAAUCUGCAUUCCCCCUCAUCCAGAAUAAACUAGCCACCAGGAAAGUGGACAGAUUCCAUACUUUGAUUCUGGUUCCAUUUGGCCUUUGCUGCAUCAAUGACGGAGGCAGAUAUAUUAUUGAGGCCAUUCUCUUGUUAAUUCAUCGAUGACCUUUUCUACUUCCCACCUCCAAAAAGCUACUGAAAAGGAAGACCAUGAGGUACCCUGGCCUUCCAGGGAGGCAGCAGUGGCACAGGGUUAGGGAGGGGACUAUGGGCUCAGAACACCUGGAAGCAACCCUGGCUCCAGUACCCGCUAGCUGAGUGGCCUCGGGCAACCUUAACCAUGCACCACUCAGCCUCCUCAGCUGUAGAAGAAAGAUGGCAGUAAGGAGAACACCUGCCCAGGUGCCGUCGUGAGGAUUCGAUGAGCUGCUGCCCAUAAAGCACUUGAAACAGUACCCGGCACAUACAGAGUAGUCAUUUGAUACACAUAUUACCACUAUUUUAUACUGGCUUACAGGACAAAUACUCCAUUCUCAAUAGACAACUGCUGCAUUUGGGAGAUUAAGAAGAGCCCGUGAAAGAUGAAUACAUGACAAAAAAUGUAAUGCAGGUUUACUAUAUAAAAUGUGGGGGUGUAGAAGACCAGAGAAGAAAAUUAAAUCCACUUAUAAUCUCACUGCCCAGAGAUGACUCAUGUUAAUAUUUGGGCAUAUAUAAC